UGGAACGUGGAGUCGGGAGGGUGGGUAAGGGGUGGGGGGCAAGCGGUGUCCGGUGGUAUUGGGCGUAAAGAGCGUGGAGGCGGCCAUGUAGGGCGUGGGGUAAAAGGCGAGGCGUAACCGCGAGACGCCGGGGGAAACCAGGUGGCGAGAGGCCGGAAGAGGAGAGUGGAAUUCCUGGUGUAGCGGUGAAAUGCGCAGAGAUCAGGAAGAACACCCGUGGCUAAGGCGGCUCUCUAGUACGGUACUGACGCUGAGACGCGAAAGCGUGGGGAGCAAACAGGAUUAGAUACCCGUGUAGUC
rnacentral:rRNA from 1 species